GGAAUCUUCCACAAUGGGCGAAAGCCUGAUGGAGCAACGCCGCGUGUGUGAUGAAGGCUUUCGGGUCGUAAAGCACUGUUGUAUGGGAAGAACAGCUAGAAUAGGAAAUGAUUUUAGUUUGACGGUACCAUACCGGAAAGGGACGGCUAAAUACGUGCCAG
rnacentral:rRNA from 1 species